rnacentral:rRNA from 1 species
GACGAACGCUGGCGGCGUGCUUAACACAUGCAAGUCGAACGGAAAGGCCCUGCUUUUGUGGGGUGCUCGAGUGGCGAACGGGUGAGUAACACGUGAGUAACCUGCCCUUGUCUUUGGGAUAACUUCAGGAAACUGGGGCUAAUACCGGAUAGGAGCUCCUGCUGCAUGGUGGGGGUUGGAAAGUUUCGGCGGUUGGGGAUGGACUCGCGGCUUAUCAGCUUGUUGGUGGGGUAGUGGCUUACCAAGGCUUUGACGGGUAGCCGGCCUGAGAGGGUGACCGGCCACAUUGGGACUGAGAUAGGGCCCAGACGCCUACGGGAGGCAGCAGUGGGGAAUAUUGCACAAUGGGCGGAAGCCUGAUGCAGCAACGCCGCGUGCGGGAUGACGGCCUUCGGGUUGUAAACCGCUUUCGCAUGAGACGAGGCGUGAGUGACGGUAAUGGGUAAAGAAGCACCGGCUAACUACGUG